UACGACGGGGGCUAGCGUUGUUCGGAUUUACUGGGCGUAAAGCGCACGUAGGCGGCUUUUUAAGUCAGGGGUGAAAUCCUGGAGCUCAACUCCAGAACUGCCUUUGAUACUGAGAAGCUUGAGUCCGGGAGAGGUGAGUGGAACUGCGAGUGUAGAGGUGAAAUUCGUAGAUAUUCGCAAGAACACCAGUGGCGAAGGCGGCUCACUGGCCCGGUACUGACGCUGAGGCGCGAAAGCGUGGGGAGCAAACAGG
rnacentral:rRNA from 1 species